UCCACUCACAAGGCUUUGGUUGGCCCGGGGCUAUAGUAGAAAACGCUUGUCCAAGGUGCCACGCAGUGGAACUGAACCUGGAACCAUGUAGUUGGUAAGCAAACUACUUACCACACACUUUGUCCGUGUAUAUGUAUUGAAUAUCAGUUCUGAUCUAUUCCCUUCAACUUAUAUAUAUUAGCUUGACAAGUUCAAGCUCUUUCACUAAGAACCACAAGUGGUUCUUGUUCUCAAAGGUUUUUUUUUUCCUUUUUGAUUUUUCAUAUUAAUAGAAAUUGAGUAUUUGUUGGCUACUAAAACUACUAUGCCAAAAGAAAUGUUAUGCUAUUACUAAAAUCAGAAUUUAAAAAUAUAUGUUAAAAAAAAAUUUAAAUAGCUGUAGUUUAGUGUUUGUUUCCAUCUGGUUUUCCUCACUUUUUACAUAUAUACAUACAUAUAUCCUUGAAAAAAUGUUAACCAAUUAUGUUGAAUUUUUUUCAAUAAAGCUUCACAAAGAAUAUAUUUUUCUUCAUUUACGAAAAUAUUUGUGUGUGAAGAUGAAAAAAAAUCUAUAGUUUAAAUUACUUGGUGUUUAAAAAUUACUGGUGGGACCAAGUUAUAUAUAUAUAUAUACAUACAUUUACAUAUAUAUAUAUAUACACGUAUAUAUACAUACGAGGUGGAAUCAAAACAUUCCUAGACUAGUUAUGUUUAAUAAAAUAACUUUUUUACUGAAGUUUUAACAUCAUCUCCUUUGAAAUAGUCACUUUGGUCCCAGCGUUCCUGCCACUUUUGGAAUCUGGCCUGGAAGUCAUUUUUCGUAAGUGGGUCGAGGACCUUCAGUGAAUCACUCUGGGUCUCGACAACGGUGUUAGAACAGUGAUCUUUGAACUGCAUUUUUGUCUUGGGGGAAAAGAUGGAAGUCCGCAGGUGCUAAAUCUGGUGAAUAGGGCGAGUGUGGAAGCGAUACCGUGUUGUUUUUGGCAAGAAACUCAUGAGUGAAGAGAGCUUUGUGACGAAUCCAAUUCUUCCUGCUCCACAAAUCCGGUCACUUUCGCUGAAUGUCCUCCUUCAAAAUGCUUGAAAACAUUGCAAUAGAACUCUCAAUUGAUGGUCUGGGCCCUGGGGGACAAAUUCUCGAUGCACAGUACCACAUUUCUGGGGGUAAUGCUUGUGGCAGGUCUUCCAGAUUGCUCCUCGUCUUCCAGGGAUGUUCUUCCACUUUUGAAGUGCCCAUGCCACUCAAAACAUUGUGUACAACCCAUUGAAUGAGCCAACGUGAAACUUGGGAAGUCUGCUACAGAGACAUUGAGCAUGCUUUGGCAAGCUUACACCAAUGAGGCAAUGGGUUUCUGUCCACGACAAAAUUGCAGACUACAGCUUACGCAUGAUCACAAAUUUCACAACUUGCGAAGUAAACAUAGCAAUGUCACCCUGCAAACUUCCUCCUGAAGGUCACUGCUAGGUCUCAAGUUGCACU